rfam:Perkinsus marinus ATCC 50983 gcontig_1104296788862, whole genome shotgun sequence.
GCCGGGAUGGUCUAGUGGUUAUGACGUCUGCCUUACACGCAGAAGAUCGCGAGUUCAA